UCAGGACGAACGCUGGCGGCGUGCUUAACACAUGCAAGUCGAACGGUGAACCUUGGAGCUUGCUUCGAGGGGAUCAGUGGCGAACGGGUGAGUAACACGUGAGUAACCUGCCCCGGACUCUGGAAUAAGCGCUGGAAACGGCGUCUAAUACCGGAUACGAGACGCAACCGCAUGGUUAGUGUCUGGAAAGUUUUUCGGUCUGGGAUGGACUCGCGGCCUAUCAGCUUGUUGGUGAGGUAAUGGCUCACCAAGGCGACGACGGGUAGCCGGCCUGAGAGGGCGACCGGCCACACUGGGACUGAGACACGGCCCAGACUCCUACGGGAGGCAGCAGUGGGGAAUAUUGCACAAUGGGCGAAAGCCUGAUGCAGCGACGCCGCGUGAGGGAUGACGGCCUUCGGGUUGUAAACCUCUUUCAGCAGGGAAGAAGCGAAAGUGACGGUACCUGCAGAAGAAGCACCGGCUAACUACGUGCCAGCAGCCGCGGUAAUACGUAGGGUGCGAGCGUUGUCCGGAAUUAUUGGGCGUAAAGAGCUUGUAGGCGGUUUGUCGCGUCUGCUGUGAAAAUCCGGGGCUCAACCCCGGACUUGCAGUGGGUACGGGCAGACUAGAGUGUGGUAGGGGAGACUGGAAUUCCUGGUGUAGCGGUGAAAUGCGCAGAUAUCAGGAGGAACACCGAUGGCGAAGGCAGGUCUCUGGGCCACUACUGACGCUGAGAAGCGAAAGCAUGGGGAGCGAACAGGAUUAGAUACCCUGGUAGUCCAUGCCGUAAACGUUGGGCGCUAGGUGUGGGACUCAUUCCACGAGUUCCGUGCCGCAGCUAACGCAUUAAGCGCCCCGCCU
rnacentral:rRNA from 1 species